UGCCUUAGUAACUGCGAGUGAAGCGGCAAAAGCUCAAAUUUGAAAUCGGCGUCCUUUGCGGGCGUCGAGUUGUAAUUUGGAGGGAUAACUUCGGUACAGACUACAUCGUAAGUUCCUUGGAACAGGACGUCAUAGAGGGUGAGAAUCCCGUGUCUUGGUGUUUGGCUGUGCCAUGUGAAGUGUCUCCGACGAGUCGAGUUGUUUGGGAAUGCAGCUCAAAAUGGGUGGUAAAUUUCAUCUAAAGCUAAAUAUUGGCGAGAGACCGAUAGCGCACAAGUAGAGUGAUCGAAAGAUGAAAAGCACUUUGAAAAGAGAGUUAAAAAGUACGUGAAAUUGUUGAAAGGGAAGCGCUUGCGACCAGACUCGAUCUUUGGUGAUCAGCCGGGCUUCGGUCCGGUGCCCUUACCAUUGAUUGGGCCAGCAUCGGUUCCGACGGCGGGAUAAAAGGAGGAGGAAUGUGGCUCCCUUCGGGGAGUGUUAUAGCCUUCUUCACAAUGCCGCCAGUUGGGACCGAGGACCGCGCUUCGGCUAGGAUGCUGGCGUAAUGGUCUUAAGCGACCCGUCUUGAAACACGGACCAAGGAGUCUAACAUCUAUGCGAGUGUUCGGGUGGAAAACCCUUGCGCGUAAUGAAAGUGAACGGAGGUGUGAACCCUUUACCGGGUGCAACAUCGACCGGUCCUGAUGUCUUCGGAAGGAUCUGAGUAAGAGCAUAGCUGUUGGGACCCGAAAGAUGGUGAACUAUGCCUGAAUAGGGUGAAGCCAGAGGAAACUCUGGUGGAGGCUCGCAGCGGUUCUGACGUGCAA
rnacentral:rRNA from 1 species